AGCGAACGCUGGCGGCAGGCUUAACACAUGCAAGUCGAACGGGCAUCUUCGGAUGUCAGUGGCAGACGGGUGAGUAACACGUGGGAACGUACCCUUCGGUUCGGAAUAACUCAGGGAAACUUGAGCUAAUACCGGAUACGCCCUUUUGGGGAAAGGUUUACUGCCGAAGGAUCGGCCCGCGUCUGAUUAGCUUGUUGGUGGGGUAACGGCCUACCAAGGCGACGAUCAGUAGCUGGUCUGAGAGGAUGAUCAGCCACACUGGGACUGAGACACGGCCCAGACUCCUACGGGAGGCAGCAGUGGGGAAUAUUGGACAAUGGGCGCAAGACUGAUCCAGCCAUGCCGCGUGAGUGAUGAAGGCCUUAGGGUUGUAAAGCUCUUUUGUCCGGGACGAUAAUGACGGUACCGGAAGAAUAAGCCCCGGCUAACUUCGUG
rnacentral:rRNA from 1 species